rnacentral:rRNA from 1 species
UGCCAGCAGCCGCGGUAAGACGGAGGUGGCAAACGCUGUUCGGAAUCACUGGGCUUAAAGGGCGUGUAGGCGGUCGUUCAAGUCGGGUGUGAAAUCCCUCCGCUCAACGGAGGAACUGCACUCGAUACUGUUCGACUAGAGUGCGGCAGGGGUAAGUGGAACUCCAGGUGUAGCGGUGAAAUGCGUAGAUAUCUGGAGGAACGCCGGUGGCGAAAGCGACUUACUGGGCCGCAACUGACGCUGAGGCGCGAAAGCUAGGGGAGCGAACGGGAUUAGAUA